AGCAGCCGCGGUAAUUCCAGCUCCAAUAGCGUAUAUUAAAGUUGUUGCAGUUAAAAAGCUCGUAGUUGAAUUUCGGGAUCAAUGCGUCGGUCGUGCCUUCGGUACGUACUAGCGUCAUUGAUUCCUCCCUUCUGAAGAACCGUGAUGUCAUUAAUUUGGUGUUACGGGGAAUCAGGACUGUUACCUUGAAAAAUUAGAGUGUUUAAAGCAGGCUGACGCUUGAAUAUAUUAGCAUGGAAUAAUGAAAUAGGACGUUCGAACCUAUUUUGUUGGUUUCUAGGAUCGACGUAAUGAUUAAUAGGGAUAGUUGGGGGCAUUAGUAUUCAAUUGUCAGAGGUGAAAUUCUUGGAUUUAUUGAAGACUAACUACUGCGAAAGCAUUUGCCAAGGAUGUUUUCAUUAAUCAAGAACGAAAGUUAGGGGAUCGAAGACGAUCAGAUACCGUCGUAGUCUUAACCAUAAACUAUGCCGACUAGGGAUCGGAUGAUGUUAAUUUUUAAUGU
rnacentral:rRNA from 1 species